UGUUGUGGGAAAUGUACUUCCGGGUUAUCGGGGUAUGGAUCGCAUUUUAAUGCAAACAAUUAUUAGAUACAGAUACCUAAUUACCAGACGCUUUCGCUUAAUUUAAACACAACAAACAUGGGGAAGAAGCAUAAAAAGCACAAGCCGGAGUGGAGAACAGUUGAUGACUGUGAGGACAAGCCUUUUGAGAAGCAGCUGAAGCUGGUGCUCAAAGUGGGAGGAAGUGAGAUCACAGAACUCUCAGGCUCCGGCCAUGACUCCAGUUACUACGACGACAGGUCAGACCAUGAACGAGAGCGCCACAAGGACAAAAAGAAGAAGAAGAAGAAAAAGUCUGAGAAGGAGAAAGACAAACACGUAGAUGAUGAGGAGAGGAGAAGACGGAAGGAGGAGAAGAGGAAGAAGAGAGAGCGGGAGCAGAAUGAAUCAGAGGCUGCUACUGCCUCUGCCUGUGGUGUAGGCCUGCCCAGUGUUGUGCCCAGUCACACUGGUGUGGCAGUCGAGCCUUUCAUGCUGCCAAAGAUACCAAACAUUGGUAUUAGUUUUGAGCAGCAGCAGCAGCAGCAGGAGGAGAAGAAGAGGAAGAGGGAGAGGUCUGAGAUGGAGCCAGAGGUGAUGGACCACUUUCACCCCAACAUCAAGGUAGAGGUGGAGCAACAAGGAGACCGGCCUGUCAGGGCUUGCAGGACAGCCCCGGAGAGUGAGUGCACCCCUCGACAGCAGCUCCUGGAACACUUCCUGCGCCAGCUUCAGAGGAAGGAUGCCCAUGGCUUCUUCACUUUCCCAGUGACAGACGCCAUCGCUCCAGGUUACUCUGUGAUAAUCAAACACCCCAUGGAUUUCAGCACCAUGAACGACAAGAUCACAGACAACGAGUACAAAACCGUCACAGAGUUCAAGGCGGACUUCAAGCUGAUGUGUGAUAAUGCCAUGGUGUAUAACCGUCCAGAGACCGUUUACUACAAGGCUGCCAAGAAACUGCUGCACACUGGCUUCAAGAUGAUGAGCAAAGAGCGGCUGUUAGCACUGAAGCGCAGCAUGUCUUUCAUGCAGGACAUGGAUUUCUCUCAGCAGGCGGCCAUUUUAGGGGACGAGGAUGUGGCGUCUGAGGAGCCCCCUCCGGAGGUCAUCCCCAUGCCCGUGGAGUCGGCGUCGGCCAAGAAAUCCAAGAAGCAGCCCAAAGACAUCAAAGAUAUGAAGGAAGUCAUCAGCUGUUACCUGUAUGAGCCAGAGGGGAACGCCUGCAGCCUGACUGACAGCACAGCGGAGGAACACGUUCUGGCCCUGGUGGAGCACGCUGCAGAUGAAGCACACGACCGCAUCAACCGAUACAUGCCCAACUCCAAGAUGGGUUACCUGAGGAAAGAGCCUGAUGGUAAUCUGUUGUACACUGUAGUGAAUCAGCUGAAUCCAGAAGCAAAAGAGGAGGAGACCCACCCUGUGGACCUGAGCUCUCUGUCCAAUAAGCUCCUACCUGGAUUAACAACACUGGGUUUUAAAGAUGACAGGAGACACAAGGUGACGUUCCUGAGCAGUACCUAUAACACCCAGACCCUACAGAACAACUCCAUCUACCCAGACCUGCUGCCUGAUGAGAUGGACCUGCUGUACUCAGCCUACGGGGACGAGACUGGGGUACAGUGUGCUCUCAGUAUUCAGGAGUUUGUUAAAGGUUGUGGGAACGUUACUAAACAUUUGGUUGACGGGCUGCUGGAUAAGAUGACUGCAGGGGAUCACUCUAAGGCUGUCUACCAGAUCAGACAGAAAAGAAACAUGGCGUUACCGGAUGAAACCAAGAACAACAUUUACGAUAUGCAGAUGGCUGAUGGGACAGGUCUGGGAGAGGGCAGCUCAGUGCUGGACUUCAUGUCCAUGAAGAGCUACUCUGACAUGUCUCUGGAGAUGUCCAUGCUCAACUCUUUAGGGAAGUCAGUGAAGAAGGAGCCGGAGCAUGAAGACGGGGUCAGCCAGCAGCACUUUGAGGAGGCAGCCAAGCUGCUGCAGGAGUUCCAGGAAGGCCAGGUGGAGAGGGGAGGCUCCAGACCCUCCUCUAACCUCUCCUCCCUGUCAGGGACCUCAGACAGGGACCAGCACCACCUGGGGAGUCCCUCACACCUGGGUGUUGGUGACCAGUCUGAGAUGGUUCAUGACCCGUAUGAGUUCCUCCAGUCCCCAGAGCCAGGCUCCACAUCCAACAGCUGACCUAUGAGUUCCUCCAGUCUCCAGAGCCAGGCUCCACAUCCAACAGCUGACCUAUGAGUUCCUCCAGUCUCCAGAGCCAGGCUCCACAUCCAACAGCUAACCUAUGAGUUCCUCCAGUCCCCAGAGCCAGGCUCCACAUCCAACAGCUGGCCUAUGAGUUCCUCCAGUCCCCAGAGCCAGGCUCCACAGCCAACAGCUAACCUAUGAGUUCCUCCAGUCCCCAGAGCCAGGCUCCACAUCCAACAGCUGACCUAUGAGUUCCUCCAGUCCCCAGAGCCAGGCUCCACAUCCAACAGCUGACCUAUGAGUUCCUCCAGUCCCCAGAGCCAGGCUCCACAGCCAACAGCUGACCUAUGAGUUCCUCCAGUCCCCAGAGCCAGGCUCCACAUCCAACAGCUGACCUAUGAGUUCCUCCAGUCUCCAGAGCCAGGCUCCACAUCCAACAGCUAACCUAUGAGUUCCUCCAGUCCCCAGAGCCAGGCUCCACAUCCAACAGCUGACCUAUGAGUUCCUCCAGUCCCCAGAGCCAGGCUCCACAUCCAACAGCUGACCUAUGAGUUCCUCCAGUCUCCUGAGCCAGGCUCCACAUCCAACAGCUGACCUAUGAGUUCCUCCAGUCCCCAGAGCCAGGCUCCACAUCCAACAGCUGACCUAUGAGUUCCUCCAGUCCCCAGAGCCAGGCUCCACAUCCAACAGCUGACCUAUGAGUUCCUCCAGUCUCCAGAGCCAGGCUCCACAUCCAACAGCUGACCUAUGAGUUCCUCCAGUCUCCAGAGCCAGGCUCCACAUCCAACAGCUAACCUAUGAGUUCCUCCAGUCCCCAGAGCCAGGCUCCACAUCCAACAGCUGACCUAUGAGUUCCUCCAGUCCCCAGAGCCAGGCUCCACAGCCAACAGCUAACCUAUGAGUUCCUCCAGUCCCCAGAGCCAGGCUCCACAUCCAACAGCUGACCUAUGAGUUCCUCCAGUCCCCAGAGCCAGGCUCCACAUCCAACAGCUGACCUAUGAGUUCCUCCAGUCCCCAGAGCCAGGCUCCACAGCCAACAGCUGACCUAUGAGUUCCUCCAGUCCCCAGAGCCAGGCUCCACAUCCAACAGCUGACCUAUGAGUUCCUCCAGUCUCCAGAGCCAGGCUCCACAUCCAACAGCUAACCUAUGAGUUCCUCCAGUCCCCAGAGCCAGGCUCCACAUCCAACAGCUGACCUAUGAGUUCCUCCAGUCCCCAGAGCCAGGCUCCACAUCCAACAGCUAACCUAUGAGUUCCUCCAGUCCCCAGAGCCAGGCUCCACAUCCAACAGCUGACCUAUGAGUUCCUCCAGUCCCCAGAGCCAGGCUCCACAUCCAACAGCUGACCUAUGAGUUCCUCCAGUCCCCAGAGCCAGGCUCCACAUCCAACAGCUGACCUAUGAGUUCCUCCAGUCUCCUGAGCCAGGCUCCACAUCCAACAGCUGACCUAUGAGUUCCUCCAGUCCCCAGAGCCAGGCUCCACAUCCAACAGCUGACCUAUGAGUUCCUCCAGUCUCCUGAGCCAGGCUCCACAUCCAACAGCUGACCUAUGAGUUCCUCCAGUCUCCUGAGCCAGGCUCCACAUCCAACAGCUGACCUAUGAGUUCCUCCAGUCCCCAGAGCCAGGCUCCACAUCCAACAGCUGACCUAUGAGUUCCUCCAGUCCCCAGAGCCAGGCUCCACAUCCAACAGCUGACCUAUGAGUUCCUCCAGUCUCCUGAGCCAGGCUCCACAUCCAACAGCUGACCUAUGAGUUCCUCCAGUCCCCAGAGCCAGGCUCCACAUCCAACAGCUGACCUAUGAGUUCCUCCAGUCUCCUGAGCCAGGCUCCACAUCCAACAGCUGACCUAUGAGUUCCUCCAGUCUCCUGAGCCAGGCUCCACAUCCAACAGCUAACUCACACACUGGCAAGUUGGCUCUAACUAGGGUAGCUCUGGUCACAAUACCAGUAUCACUAUACUAUGAUACUCCACUUUCCAAGGCAAAAAAGGAAACACGAAACUGUUUUAACUCUUUAAAAACCUGCUUUAUCUAAAAUAUUGUUUUCUGUAGCUUGAAAAACAAACAAAUGUGACUCUGGGUGACAACAUAAUGCUGCUUGUUUGUAUCCAACAUUAGGACUUCUGAGUAUAGCGAUUCUGCUAUUGAGACACUACUAGGGAGUUGGUAGACAAUGCCUCUAACUACUGGUCUGGGGUCAGACAUUGUUUGAUGGGUAAUCUGAUCCUAGAUCUGUGGCUUAGAGGAAACUUCUACUCAGAGCUGAUCUGACGUCCUGUUUUUAACCACACUGGUUGUUUUGUUGUCUGACUCUGCUCUCAACACCCUGGGAACAACGAGAGUGAACCUCAGACAUGUUGUGAAAGGUCAUCAUGAUUGUACAGAUUAUUUGUAUGUGCGCUAUACUUAAGAGAAUAAAGUCGCCACAGGUUGUGUUUUUACACAGUACUGUGUCAUCAGGUUGUGUUUUUACACAGUACUGUGUCAUCAGGUUGUGUUUUUACACAGUACUGUGUCAUCAGGUUGUGUUUUUACACAGUACUGUGUCAUCAGGUUGUGUUUUUACACAGUACUGUGUCAUCAGGUUGUGUUUUUACACAGUACUGUGUCAUCAGGUUGUGUUUUUACACAGUA